UACGUAGGGGGCGAGCGUUGUCCGGAUUCACUGGGCGUAAAGGGUUCGUAGGCGGCAUGUCAAGUCUCACGUUAAAGCCCCGGGCUCAACCCGGGAUCGGCAUGGGAUACUGGCAAGCUUGAGGACGGAAGAGGCGAGCGGAACGUUGCAAGUAGCGGUGAAAUGCAUUGAUAUGCAACGGAACACCAAUGGCGAAGGCAGCUCGCUGGUCCGUAUCUGACGCUGAGGGACGAAAGCCAGGGUAGCGAACGGG
rnacentral:rRNA from 1 species